GCUCGGUGCCGCGGGGCUCGUCGCGCCGAGCGCCACGCAGGCCGGUGGGGCUGUCACAGGGCCGGCCUGCCCCGUCGCCACCGGCCCCCGCCUCCGCGCUGGCUCCGUCCCUAAGGCGAGAUGGAGCCGUGUGGCGGUGCGGUUGCGCUCCUCUGGCCCUCUCCACAGACCGCUGCCACCAGCCUCUUGCGAGGGCAGUACUGGUGUGGGUGGCUCCGUCGAUACGUUUAUCAUCUUAACUUCGAUUUCCACGCGGCGUGGAGAGCGAUGCACAGCCACUCGUGGUGGCCCAGCGCGGCUAGGCUGGUGGUUUUAUUCAGAGCCUCAAAAUAAUUGGUGUUUACCUUCCAGGUCCUGUGCUUAGGUGAUCCCCUGGCUUCUUGCCUUUGUCAGUCAGGAGUUUGUCAAUAUUGCAGUAUCCAGUGCCAAGCCAGGCAGCACAAUGCGCUUCAAGAAGUGGUAUAGUCUCCCAAAAGGUAUUUUCUUUCAGCACAGUUUUCAAAUGGUAAACACCUGUAGUGAAAAUAAAAAACCCAAACAACACAACAGCUCCCACGUUUUGGGUCUAAAAUGGCAAAUCAAUGCAAAUGUUUCCAAGUGUGAACUGCAGAGAACUGACAAGAAGGUUUAGCAAUUUAAGUUAGCAGCAAUAUGGAGUUGAAAGCGUACGCUGCAUGUCAGGGGCAACCUAGGAAGCUACAUACCAGAAAUGUUACAUGCUGUGAAUUUAUGACAUAUUUCAUAUAAACUGAAGAGUCAGGGGAAUAAUGAGUUUCAGAAGGGGCUCAUGGCUGGGUGAUGGCAAGUAAAAUCGAAUGUUCAUUUCCAGAAAGAGGCUUGGAGUAUAUUGAUGUGGAUGGGUCUACAGUUGGAUUUAGGAGGGACCUGGUAAAACUGUAGCAACUUUUUGCAAGUUCACUUUUUCCCAGAGCUCGGAGUUUUGUUAAUGAUUGUAUAUUGUUACAUAGAGAUAGGAGAUGGGUUUGAAAUGUUGGCAAAUCAGGUAUUAUUCAAGAGAUGGAUUUAGCCAUCCUUUCAAUAGGCAUUAUUUAAUCUCUAAUUUUACUUUGUUACUUUGAUUCCUUGAAUUAUGAAGCUCUGUUUAGUUGUGUGAAGUUUAAGACACUUCAAACCUUAUCCUACAGUCUGUGACUUGGUAAGAUUUUGGUAAGACUUUUUUUUUUUUAAAGAAAUUGCUGUGGGGAAAAUGCAAGGAUACAACCUAUCUUCUUAACACCUACUAAAAUACAUUUCAUUUAAAAAAAAAAAAAUUGAAGCUGCAUAGUAUUCACAAUGUCAAAUGUAGUAGUAGUAAUAAAAUAGCAGCUUGUUUCAGCUUUUUCUGCCAUAUUAAAUGGAGCCUUUUCAUAGAAAUGUGAUUAUUUUUCAUGGACCCUGUUCCUUUAAAAGCUUAGUUUCCACUUCUGUAUUAGUCAUAGUUUAAUUAACUGGUUAUCUGAAUUGAAUCACUGUUGUAGAUACAGAAUUCUCACCCUCCUUUUUCCAGGCAAAAUAUGCUAGGAUCUGAUAUGUCUGGAUUAAAAAUACUGGGUUCAUAAUAAGUAAUGGUCUGUCCUGUUGUAAUUAAACCUGGACUAAGUUAAGAUUUCAUUCUCUGGGUAAGUAUGAUUCUACAAACAAAACAGAUUUAGUUUUUACACUUUUACAGUCAUUUGAAAGGCUUCUUAAUUCACAAAGUUCUUUUCAUAUUUUUCAUUUUCAUUGCUUUCAAGUUGAGGAGACAUGAAACCAAAUGAAAUUUCGAUAAGGCAACUAUCCCUGAGUGCUAGAGAUGAGACACUUGUAUGGAGCAUAAUAUGUUCAGAAUGUUGAUGUUUUUGUAGAAGUUUAUACAAAAUUGCUUCAUAAUUACUGUAAAUAUGUACAGAAUGUCAGUGGCAUGAGUUUUAUGGUAAACAUUAUAAGCUUAAUUUAAGAGAGUAAUACAUAGUCUAGAAACACCAAGUAAAUUUAGAGCUACAUCAGCAAAGAUGCUAUCUUGAAGUAAAUACACGCAAAAUAUACACACUUUUUUGUGUAGACUUUUAAAAUAAGAGAAAUCUACUUAUAGUAACUUGCCUAUAAGGUGUCUGUUUAUUCUUUGUGGCCUCAGUCUCAAACUCGUUUCAGUCAUCAAGAUUAAUGAUUAGGCUUAUUUUCAUUAAUGACUUGAACAGCAAUGAGUUAUAUAGUUGUCAAUAAAAAAUUCAAUUUGUCUACACUUUUGUGCCUGGCUGUUCCAAAACCAUUCCAAAAGCUUUAUAAUUUUCACAUUAUUAUAACGUAUUAUAUAAAUGGGGUCCCUGAAUCUCCUGAGUGGAGAUUAAAUAAACUGCUUCAUAGCUCUAUGUACAACAGAAGUGAAUCUUGCAGGGAGCACUGGAUGGAAUGGAGGCCUUGGCUCGUACACCUCCUCCUGGGAGAAUGGUGGCCAAGAGUACUGUGUGAGCACUUUGAGUGGCACAUAAAGAAGUAGGUUUUUUUCUUUUUUAUUUCACUUAAGUUUUAGGUCUUGGCAGCGUGGAGGUGGCCUUUAUCUAUCAUGAAGUAGAUCCACCAUAAAAAAAUGAAAUUUGCGGUAGCAUUGCAACACUAUUGGCAACUAGGAAUUUUUCUGCCAUCUUUAUAGACUAACUGCAACACAUGAGCCUGGACUUAGUUUUCUCAUUCUUUUUGGAUGACAGAAUCUGUUUCAUACUGUCUGUAUCUGUGUACUAGGUUUAGCUGCUCAUAGUUGUUCUGGUUCUGGAAAAAAAAGUGUAGAGUGCAUAAAAUACAGUUCAUUAUCACAUGAAAAAUAAAGUUUUGGGAGUUUCUCAGAAAAUGGUGGAAGAAUUUGCAUAUAUUUACAGAGGUGCGUAUGUAUUGGCUACUUUGAUUUAUCAGGCUGGCAUCUUGGGAGUCCUUACUGUGAAAUGGAGCUUUACACAGGGAACAUUUUGACCCUCUAAAUAUAGAAGUUGGCAAACCUGCUGUAUAAUCUAUGAAAAUACAGAGAGUAAGACAAGAGUGGUAGGAACGCUGUAUAGGAAAAAAUGAUACUGUGUUAUUCAUUUAUGAAAUAGGACUUUAUUAUAUUCUGAGAGAAAAUAUUGCAGAUGGAUUAGGAAUUAUUAGAAGUACUAAAAAAUUACACAGGGAAGAAUAAACACUGCAUUGCUUCAUUUAGAAAGACGGUAAAAUAGAACAUGAUAGAUAUAUAAAGAUAAUAAAUAGUAUAAAGAAAGUAAAUUACACUUUAAAUACGCUUCUCCUACUGUUAGACUAAUUAGAUAUUCACUGAAGUUGAAUGGUUGCCCUUUCAAAACAGGUACAGGAAGUUUUAGAUUUUUUUUUUUUCCUUAUGUAUGUGUAAAUAACCUCUGGAACUCAUUGCUACAAGAUAUUGUAGAAAACAAAAACUUGUAAGAUUUAAAAAACAAUAUUUAAAUUUUUGUAUCUAGAGAGAGAACAUUUACAACUAUUCCAGAUAGAAAUGUGUUAACUGUAUGAAAUGUUGAUGUUUUUAGUAUUGAGGCAAACAUUGAUAGGAGUUAGGAAAAAUCUUCCCUUGUGAAAGGGGUAUAUGUUUUACGCUAUGAGGUUUAGAUUGCAAUGUCCUUUGAGGUGAUUUCACUUACCUGCUGUCAGAACCUGAAUCUUGUAUACAACCCUUUUGUAGAGUUAGUUAUCUUUUUUGUUAUAGCCUGAGAGGUCUUUGUGCUUUGGCAUUGAGGCUUUAAAACUGAGCAGAAUUUAUAUUACUUAGAUGGUUUAUUUUGCUUUACACAGCCUUUUCUACUACAGAAUUAGGAAAGUUCUGUAUUAAGUGAUAUUUCAGCUGCAACAAUGACAUCUAGGGGCUGAUUUAUAUUAAUUUAAUUUAGAUACGUAUCUCCUAUUUUUUGAGAAGAUGGUUACUAAUACGUUUACUAAAUCUAAAUUAUUAGUAUUCACUAAAAAGCUGUAAAUCUGAUAUGUGUCAUAUAUUCAGAGAACAACCACGACAUUUUAAACUUAUUUUUUCUGUUUUGUUUUCCCUUGAUCUGUCUUUUAAUUAUUUUAGUACUGCUAACACUGCAAAUCAAUGAUUCUCUCAUUCCUUUAGACCUUGUAUUUUUUCAUGACGUGUUAUGAAAUGAUGAGAUUUUUUUUCACUCUAUACUUUACGUAUACUUUUCUGUGAAUUAAAGGGAAAUCUCUUUGACUCUGCUUCCUUAUAUGACUUAUUCUGUUGCCUAAAAUCACAUGUACUUUAAUUUGUACAGGAAAUGAGACCAAAAAUCCCUAUAUUCAAUCCCCUACUUCCCCAGCUUUAUGGGUCUGCAGAUAUAGGCUUGACUCCAGAUUUAAACCCUAUGAUUCAGGGCCACCUCUAAGCUAUACGUAAAUCCAAUUUUAUGUGUGCAAGUAAGUGUAUAUGUAAAAUACAUAAUUGCAAUUUAGAGAUGAUUUAACAGCAUCUGUCCUAUUAUUUGCAAACUUACUUUCUUUCCCUUGAAUCUUAGUUAUUUGACCAUAAGUCACUUAUUUGGAAUUGCUUUUUACAGAAAAAAAUUUCUGUAUUUCUUUCUCAUCAGCUUCUUCACUUAUAUUUACAACUUUUUCUCAGGAAUAAGAGAAUAUAAUUUUUUGCAAAAUUCCCCUCAUGCCGUUCUGUAGAAUAUAUUGUACGUUCUUUAACAUACUGACUUUUCAUUGGUAUUGAGAAGAGGAGACCUGAAGAAGAACCCUUGAGUGUAAGAAACAGGGAAAGGCUCAUCUUUUUCCUUAGAUAUUUCCUUAAAAUUUUGAAGUCAUGUUUGUGGUUUUGGGAGUGUGUUACUGACUUGAGCAGAGAAUUUUGAGUCAUAGAAUUUAUACAGCUGGAGAAGAGAGCGAACCAAACAGAACUGAAAAAAGCAAAACUAAACCGUAAAUGUUAGGUGCUCUAAAAUGUAAAACUUAUAGCUAUAUUUUCAUAGAACCCGCCAGUCAGUUAUUAGGAGGCACUGAGUUUAAGAGAAUGUGAAAAAUCACUUGACAUGAGAUUGCUGGUGAUGUACUAAGAGUAGAAGCUAGGGUAAGCUAACUUCCUUCAUAGCUCUUCUGGUAUAUAAGAGAAAGAAACUAUAACCAGGUGAAGCUGAAAAUAGUGAGAUAUUAUGGAAAGCUUCACCACGGAUCAAAUCAAGGUACUAAAAUGUUCUCUACAAUAAAUAAAGGUGUUUUUCUGAUAGAACUAUACCAACAGGAACUUUUUCAUAUAGAAGUUAUACUGGCACAGCAAUUCUUUUCACAACUGCUGUAUCUGCUGGUUUCAUCUGUGAAGUAAGCGAAAGCUGAUUUCUGUCAGUGGCAAAACAUAAUUAUAACUGCAUUCUGUAUUAAAUCUUACUUAAAAAUCUCACAAAAAAUCACAUCCCUAACUACUAUUAGUAUGUUAGUAGAUGAUUUUUACAGACUUGGUCAAAGUAUCACAAUGGACAUAUUUGUCUCUCAUUGGAAGGUCUGCAGGGAGUGUAAAGCAGAAGAGGAUAAAUCUGAACUGUAGUUGAGUGUGAAUAGGACUGGGGGAAGGAAGAAACAGGAGAGAAAGAUUUAUAAAAUUCUUAAAAAUAAGUAACAAUUCUUUUAAUCUAUAUUUUUGCCUAUGUAACUGUCAUUUUAUGAUUCUGUAUUGAAAAGGAGUGGGUUUGCAAUGGUGACUGAAGGUAGUAGGAUGCAUUACGACUUGAACAAAUGCUUCAAACACCAGUGUUCUCCUGCCUUUGCAAAACUACAUUUAAAAAAUAGCCAAACCAUGCUAUAUUCUGCUUAAUUUGUAUUUCAAGGCAAAAUAUGGAAUCAAGAGCACUGUAUCCUCUGAAAUCAGGGCACUGCAGGAGAAAUUGUUAGGGGAGCUACAAUUUGUUGAUUCUUUGGACUUGAUUCUACAGUGAGCUAGGGCAGUGAAAGCCUCUGAAUGUCAACAGAAUCUAGCUUUCCAGUUAGCCUGUCCCUUUACCGGUUUAAAGUUCUCUACAGUUGUGGGAAUGAUAUUGCCUACUGGGAGGUGACAACUGGACCUUACUGCCAUCUUUUUCUUUUUUUGGGGAAACGAUACAUUAGCAGGUGUGAUUCUUAAGAGGUAUUUCACCACUGUCUUCAAAAGGCUCAGGGCUUCUCCUAGCCCUUAGAAUAUGCAGUUUUCUGAUGUCUUUUGGAUUGGCUUUUACUGCUGAAUUGGCCAUGGGGAAACUCCACUUAGAAGAGGGACAAAAAUUAUUUAGCUAUGCACAAAAUAUCAAGGCAGUUCAUAGAGAGCUGCCACAUGAUAUUUUACUGUCCAUUAUUAUUUUCCCUUUUUAUUACUUUGCAUAGAUACUGAUAUUUUUGCCAGCUCUUACGCCAAACAGUGCUUUCUUAGGUAUGUAAUCCAAUUAAGGGAGGAUAGAAUGUGAUUUAUUACUGGCAGUUGUAACAAGGGGAGUCGUGCACAAAACACUCCUACAGCAAACUACCGCUGUUUUUUCUUGUUGCAGUCAGUGAAAAUACAGAAGUGUCCUUUGCAUUCUUAAGAGAAAUUAGCUGUACGUGAAGUGUUGUAUUAUAGCUGGUACAUACUGAUCCCAGUUGUUACAUUUGCCAUUCAUACAUGCCCCAGUGACUGUCCUCAGUGUGUGUUUUACACAUUCAAGAGAAUUCAUUUUUGAAUGAUAAGCUGCAGUAAGCCUGGAAUCAGAUUCUACAUUACAUAAAUUAAUAUUUCACAUGUGAAAGGAGAUCCCCUAAAAAGAAUUGGACUCCCUGGAGUUCUAAUAUAGCCAGUAGUCCUGUAAUUGAUUUAAUUGCUAAUUUUUUUUUUUUUUUUUACAGUUGUAGUUAAAAGGCAUUACUUUUUCCUCCUUGGUAAAUCAGUCAUUGUAGACUAAAAUACGCUAAUUUCUGUUGCAAGAAAGAACUUCUAGAGUACGUACUACAUGCUAGCUCCCAAAGCAUAAAAUACCACCAGAAAUUUGUAAAUCCAGUCAGGUGUGAAACUCUGGUAUAUCCAUGACUUAAUUUCAGUAUCAAUUACCAAUAUAGGUCAGAAUAUGCUCAGCAUGGAAACUAGGUAACUUAAAAAAAUAACAAAUGCUUUUGAGUACUUCUCAUAUCAUUAAAGGGAGUUGUGGACCAGUCAUCUGUCCUUCAGCGAAUGGUCUGGCUAGUCCUGGCAACUUUUCUUAUGUUGCAUAGAUUGAUCUCCUCUUGCAGACUGGUUUACUUGAAGUGCAAUCUGUUUUUUGCCAAAUGGGAUUAGUUAGGGUAUUUUAAUCAAGCAUGUAGGUGCUUGAGAUGGGUUUUAAGCAGUAGACUGUAAUUUUGAAGUGUGACAUUUUUCACGUAAGUUCAGUGUAGCAGUCACGUUAACCUAACCUUGAUAAAUUUUGCAAAAUUUAUAUAGCUGACCACAUAUUUGUCAUGUGUAUGAUGGUGUGAGGCUUCUGUUAUGCUCCUGUAGAACUUUUAGGAGUACAAACAUAUAAUUUCUGAGCAUCCGUACAAACACACAACACUGCAGAUGUUUCAUAGUACCCAAGAAGUACAUUGUUCCAGUUUUCUUCAUUAAAAUAUUUAUGUGGCCUCCAAAACCUUAAAUAAGCAAGUUUACACAACUUUCCUAUCCAUGCUACAGAACUUAAUGUGCACUUUUCCCUCAAAAUAUAUAUUAAAACACUAACAUAAAUGUGACAAACUGGAGUUUUCCAUCCUACUGUGAUUUUAAUCUGCAAGUUUAAAAAAGCAACAAACAUACACCCUGGAAAGGUACUGGACCAAAUUUUUAAUUCCCUUUUCAAUUUUACUAAGUCAAAUUCUUGUUCACGAGUUUGUGUAAAAUUAGGAUCUCAUGGUUCGGCUCACUUUAUGAAUGUUCCUUGACAUCCAAAAUUUUUUUUCUCUAACCCUUAGCACUGUGUGUGCAUGCAGGUCUGCAGGUGCAUGUGUAUGCACUUCCGUGUACACAGAGACAUAAAAUUAUAUUUUCAUUGCAAAUAUGCAUGUGGAAUCUGCACACAGUGAGCAUCGAACAACUGCGUGAAAACAAAGGAGUCCAUUCAUUCUUAGUUAUUGAAUCUUGUUACUGUUUAUUAGAUAUGAGUAGACCAAAAUGAACCAUCACACUUUUCUGUAGUGACCUUGAGGUGGCAGCAGCAUUACAUUCAAUUCUGCCAUACACCAAGUCCAUUAAAGGUGAAAGUAAAAUUUGCAAUAAAUCAAAAUAAUACUGAUUGUUAUAAUUUUAUUACCAGAGCAUUAAGUCAAUAAAACUUAUCUGAAAUGUCAUUUGCAUUGUAUACAAUUUUUACUAGUUAUCAAGUAUGUUUUAAAAGCAUGUUUAAAGCAACCAAAUGAAGAAAUCGGUGAUAAAUUGUUGGAAAGCUGGGACUUGUCUAAUGGUGUAGUAAAACUAAAGUCUGUUUUGAUCUCUUGUAUUGUAAAAGACUGUUUCUGAAAGCAUUUGUUAGUAUAAUAAUGUCUUGUGUCUUGACUAACUAUAUUUAAUGUCCUAAUGUCUGAUUAAAUAUUUUCCUGCAAGUUGUCAGGUCCUUUUUCAUUCAUGAUUUUAUGUAGGAAGGUCAUCUAAUUAUAUGACACCCUUUCAGUGAAGGAGAAUGUGUUUGUUUCUUUUAAUAAUGAGGAAUAAUGAAACUUAUUUAUGUUGGAAGUCAGAGAAAUUUAUUGGAGAAUUACAACAUGAGAAACAUGAAAAUUAAAAAAACCCUUUUAAUAGCAUAUUCAUUACCAAGAAGCUUGCAGGUAAUGAAAUAGUUGUAUGAAAGCCAGUAUAUUGGGUGAUAUAAUACUGCUCAUGUCAGUUUUCAGGACAUGGUUAUUAUGCAUUUCUAUGUUGUCAAUUACUAUUAGGUUACUAAAUUAUUAUUAGCUAAUUAGUCAAAAUAGGAGGCACUAGAAGAAAAGGUUAAAAGCAUUUAUUUUUACAAACUUCUAAAACAACUUCUGGCUGGGAAGCCAGUUGGUGUGUAGUAAUACUCCACAACGAUUUUGCCGUGUGGGUUGCAUUGCUGCUUAGGUGUUGCUGUUCUGCAAGACUAACACAAGUUUGGACUAGAAGUCAAAAGAGGUAUCUGUUAUACAACUUAAUGAUGUUGAAGAAACAACAUUCAAAAGUAGUUACCCUAACAAAUGCAGAAAAAUAAUGUUAGUGAUGUAUUUAUACAUCAGUUAAAAACUGAUUUGAAGGAAACCCUUUAUGUAACUGCUGCUAAAGGAGUCCCAAUAACUGAUUAAAGAUUACAUAUGUAAUAGUUAAAAUAAUUCAGUGAUAAUUUAUUGAAAAAUAAGGUUAUAUUGAUUAUUUAAGUUUUGGGUUUAUUCAGUCUUUAGGGUUUUUUGUUUAUACUAAGAUACGGCAUUUAGACCUGUUUACCUUUAUAUUCUUUACUCAUGUUUCACUUGUUUUGUUGACCAGUUGUACCUUGACAACUUUUUCAACUCCUCAUGAAAUAGUAUUAUUAAAUAUAAAUGAGUAUAUAAGUUGAAUUAUAGCUCCAGAAUGACAUGUUAUUAGAUUUUAAAAGCAGAUAGAGAAUCACAAACCACAAGCCAAACGGAGAUUACAACACAUGAAUGCUGUUUGGGCUGUGCCAGUGGUUACUGAAGCCAAUACAAAUACUAUUAUUUCACAAAGACAUAGAUCUGGUCUUUUACUUCUUCUGAUCUGUGCUGUAGUUUUCUCUUUGUCACACUUCACUGUUUCUUAAGCUAAUUUCUAUGAUUUUACAUAAUUUCCAAAGGUAUGAAUGCAGUGAGUGACAAAGCAGCAGAAUAACUGAGGUAGCAACAGUAUUCCUGUGAGGAAUGUAAUUCACUGUGAGCUUCUUUCUUCUUCUUUCUGAUUUUAACCAUAUGGCUCUUUAUCAUCAAAAUAUAUUUACAUCAGAAAUAAAAGUAAGGCAACAAUAUAUAUGAGCUGAACAUAGUUAAUGUUAAUAAUUUCUUAGAAAUACAUAGAAAUGAGGUUUAGAGGGUACCCCUCAUCUCUGUAGGUCAGGAACCUAGAUUAUCAGUAUCCCAAAAGCAAAGAUGUGAUUUUUAUUUGUAUUUACAGCACCAUGAACACACAUUUUGUUGGAGAAAUAAAAAAAAAUUGCAGUUGUCACAGCGCGGGCUCUUUGUAAGUAUACAAAAUUCAAAUAAACAGGUUGUCCUCAACUUCAGUGGGAGAAGAAUCUAUUAUAGAAGUUGCAGAAUAUUCCAGAGAUUUUGACUUGGAACCAGUGUUUUAGAAUUUAUUCAAGUGUUAGUUUAACAUUUUUCUAAUGUUAAGCAAGACCUUGUUGUAAGACCUUGUUGUCCUGAAAUCACAAAGUUGCUGUCUUAAAAGUACCAUUGCUAUACUGAAAUGGAAGGUACCUGGUGUGAUCUGUCUCUUUCAGUUAAGCUGUGUAGUAUCUGAUAAAGGGUAUUCAUUUCAUGGAGCAAUUUGUAUAUCAGAGAAUAUAUUGCAAAGUGUUCAGUUAGCAAUACUACUCUUCAGUAAAAUCACAUUACCUAGAACAUUAAAACAAUCAUUCUAAAACAUGAUUUAUAAUGAUUUGAAAGUGUUUGUAAAAAAUAGAUGACCAUUGUACAUUUACAGUUGACACAGAGGUCCCUCGUGUCAAGAAAGCACUCUUGACCUUGAUGGGUAGUUGCAAUUCCAUUUAAAUCAAUUGCCAAUACAAGUCAAAUGAAGUUCUUAUGGCUGUCUAGUGUGCACUUCCCUGUUCUUCUGACAUUAUUGUUCUACUCCAAGUCAUUCUUCAAUCUUUUAACAGCUGAAAGGGACCUACAUUCUGCAGCUUUAUGGGAAACCAGCACUAAGUUGUACUUCUCUGUGUUUUGAAAGCUUCCAGUAUUUUUCAGUGCAUUUAUUUCCAAGCUAACCAAGCAAACCACAUCCUUUUCUACGUAAAAUAGAGUACUUGGUCUGUUGCUGGCAAAGCCAAAUAUUUCAGUAUUACAGUGAAUACAGAAUGCAUUUUCUGUUCCUACAAUUUUACUGGUCAUUCAUUUAAUUUGAUAGAAAAGAAACUGAUCUUUUAACUCUGAAAACUGGAGAUCUUUGUUAGUUUAGCUUUAAUAAAAGCUUUCACUAUAUUAAACAUGAUAUAUUCUAAACAUAAUUUACAUUAGAAAUGAUGGUGAAUACAAUUUUGGGGGUAUUUUGUGGGGUGGAAGAGAAAGGGACACAGCAACUCAGAAAAAUAACUUGAGAAUUUAUCCUGUGUUUCUGCAUGCCUGGAUACUUAUUUCUUCAAAGGAUUUUGCUAAAAUUGGAGAUGAAUAUAUGAAAAGCGAUAUGAAUUCAUUAAACAUUUUGCUCAAAUGAGAAAAUCCUUGGAUAUACAGAACUUUCUAAAAAUAUCUGGGUUUUGUGUUAUUAACUUACUUGUAAUGUUUUCACUCUUCUAAAUGAAUUUAAGUGUCUACCUUUUGACAAGUGUGAGUAUUAAAAGGUCACAGCAUGGCACAAGGUUUACAAGACUGAAAAAAACCAAGUACAGGUACUUUCUCAAAGAGAGAUAAUACAAACUAUGGCUAAUCCUAUCCAGCCCUGCCCCCAGCCUGUUUCAUAAGUAGUCCAAGCUUUCAAAAGAUCCUGUAUUAAUAAUAGGAAAACCCAAUCUAACUGAUAUGUUAGCAUUAAAUACAUACAACAACUAAUACGAAUUUAUAAUGAAAAAAGUGAUUUUGGUAGCCAGUGGAACAUGUCUGGGAUAGUAUUAACAGGUUGCUGCAAUUAAUGCAAAACUAAUCACCAGUCCUCCAUGGAGAAAUGCAAAUUGCAAGUUGUUAGAAGGCCUGUUCUGUUCAAUAGGAUUUGCAUUGCAGCUAAUCCACUUAGCAGCAUCUCAUGUUUCUAUGUUGAAGUGUUUUUUAGGAAGUAAUGAAGUAUUAUUCCUUUCAAUGGAUUUCUUUAGUUUCUAUAUUUUGACUCUUCUGUUUUUAGUAAUUAUGUAAGUAUGUUUGCCUGCUCUUUCUUUCCCAUUCCCAUGGGCUGAGAUCGAAGUAAGUGGCCCUAUUUUCUACAUUUUCCUAUGCCCCUGGAAACUAUCAUAUGAAGCUAAAGCUACAGAAUUGACGACUUGACAUACAGGAAAUGCAUUACAUAUACUGUCCUUGUGUUUGCAAUUGAAAUUCAAAGAUUCUGCUGUAUCUGAUGUCCCACCCAUCUGCUGGUGGGCAAGAAUAGCUGGAUAAAACCUGCAUUUAUUUACU